rnacentral:rRNA from 1 species
UACGUAGGGGGCAAGCGUUGUCCGGAUUUAUUGGGCGUAAAGAGCGUGUAGGCGGCCAGGUAGGUCUGCUGUGAAAACUCGAGGCUCAACCUCGAGAUGUCGGCGGAAACCAUCUGGCUAGAGUUCGGCAGGGGAGACUGGAAUUCCCGGUGUAGCGGUGAAAUGCGCAGAUAUCAGGAGGAACACCGGUGGCGAAGGCGGGUCUCUGGGCCGAUACUGACGCUGAGGAGCGAAAGCGUGGGGAGCGAACAGG